rnacentral:rRNA from 1 species
UACAGAGGGUGCGAGCGUUAAUCGGAAUUACUGGGCGUAAAGCGUGCGUAGACGGUUAUUUAAGUCGGGUGUGAAAGCCCCGGGCUCAACCUGGGAAUUGCAUUCGAGACUGAAUAGCUAGGGUACGGUAGAGGGAAGUGGAAUUUCCGGUGUAGCGGUGAAAUGCGUAGAUAUCGGAAGGAACAUCAGUGGCGAAAGCGACUCCUGGACCAGUACCGACGUUCAGGCACGAAAGCGUGGGGAGCAAACAGGA